GCCUCAUGCUGAUUGUGUAGUACACAUCCAAAUGGCAUACAAAUGGCUACAUUAUACUAACGACCCCUGAUAAGCUGUGACAGACCAAUCUCAAUUCUAAGGGAGUAGGGCAAUCAUUGAAGAACAUAAUUGGAACAAUGAAUGGGCUCGUCCUUUAGAGACUGCAAAGAAGCUUCGCUAGUCCUUUUUCAGCCGUUGGCAUCUCGCGAAAGUGAAAUCCAUCCGGGAAUGCAGGUGUUGUACGUGUUUUUUGUCUUUGUAUUUGCAUCGCCAGGGGGCUAAAAUCAGUAAUGGCCUUAUCCUUUACUAGUUGGAUGGAUUUUAUCCGUAAGAGCUCGUGGGUGGCCAGAAUGGCUGCGGGACCAGAGUAUCGUUGUCUGUACACGUGAUUAUAAGGAUGUAGACGUUCAAGUCUCAGAGUCAAGAACAUGAUACAAUGAAUUACUUUGGUUCUACGAAUGCAGAAGGCAAAAGAAGAAGGAAAAAAUCAUGAAAGAAUUGUACAUAAUUUCUGGUUUGGCAUAGAGGUUUGGCUGUUACAAAUAGAUAAUUAGAAGUAAUUAAUAGAAGGUUGAGAUGAUAUUUGGGAGGAGGAGUAGUUAGCGAUUGGAUGGAUUGUUCUUUAGAAAUCAAAGGGAACGUAAAGGAACGCUGCUACGUACAAGUGAAAACGAAUCCAAAGCAACGUAGCAUCAUGGAUGCUGGAUGCAUUUGAACAUCAAAUCAGGUCCUUUUCCGGACAGAAAAUAUCUAUCGUAUCAAAUGAAAUCUAGCAUACUCUCACUUUUCCUGCUCGCCUCUAUUCAAGCGUCGAAACAACUAACGUUCGUCUGCACAAAAUAGGGGAAAAGUCUUCAUCAUGCCAGCACCCACGAGAACUAGAGCUACAAUAGUCCCUCACGUUUGUAUAUGACCGGUAGAAGACAGAAAAACCAAUUAGUCUUAACGUUUGUUGCAAUGUCUGGAAUAAAUGGACUUCUUCCUUCUCCGGUCUCUCAAUCCCCGGUGAUGAGCAUCUUUGGUCUUCAACAGCCCUGUCCCUCGAUUGACUAAUAGAAGCCCAUCAUGAUUUCUUGGUGAAUAUUAUUAUAUUUAGCCUUCUUGUUAUGACCGAUGGACCUUAUAAAUUUAUAGAGGAAAAUCAACAGCUUCUGGUUAUAUGCCGAACACAGUAGUGUUGUGUCUUUCUUUUAAUAGAGUUGAAUGACCCCACCACUAGUACUAUGUCUAAGUCCAAAUACAAGAAAGUAAAACCAAUACCCCUAUCUAUUAUUUGGAUAGAGAGGAACUUUUUAUCACAUGGGAGGUUUUGUGCC